UUGUGUGUGUUUUAUUGAAAGCAUAAAAAUAACAAAAAUGAAAAAUUUUUGCCUAAUGCAAGCAAACUAAAGAUUAAAGCGAAAAUAAACUUAAAAAAGAUUAAAGCGAAAAUAAACUUAAAAGUAAAAAUUCAGAGAUAUGCACCCCCACACUUAAAUCAUGCAUUGUCCUCAAUGUAUAAGAAACAUAAAAGAACAAAGGAAACU
rnacentral:lncRNA from 1 species